rnacentral:rRNA from 1 species
AGUCACUGACAUUAGAUACCCGUGUAGUCCUGGCCGUAAACGAUGUGGACUUGGUGUUGGAAUGGCUUCGAGUUGUUCCAGUGCCGAAGGGAAGCUGUUAAGUCCACCGCCUGGGAAGUACGGUCGCAAGACUGAAACUUAAAGGAAUUGGCGGGGAGCACCACAACAGGUGGAGCCUGCGGUUUAAUUGGACUCAACGCCGGGAAGCUCACCGGAUAGGACAGCAGAAUGAUUGCCGGGCUGAAGACCCUGCAUGACUAGCUG